GGGCCAUGUAUAUGCACAGGGUUCAACUGGCUUGAAUUAUGGAAUCAGAAGCUCCUUUUGAAUCACUUUGAACUAAUCAGCCCUCUGGCCGCUUCAUGCUUGCCCUUCAGCUGCACCUUUUUACAGAUGCAGUCUCCAGUUCAACAAGUGGAAGCAGCAAAAGAUUUUGAUCAAUUAAUGUUCUCCACAAUGGGUGUAAGGAGUGCAGUCCUGUGCUCUUCCAACAAUGAACAGCUAAGGCCGUCAUCUUUGGGUUAGAUCUUCAUCUAAGGAGGUUACAGGUCCACGGUGUAGAACCUGUGUAUUUCCCACUGCACGAAAAUCAGACUCCCAGGGUUCCUAGAUCUACAGCGUUGCCUGUCAUUUACAUGCAAAGGAGGAAGCUGCCUACAAGGAAUGUAGUAAUAGCUGCAUGCAGGAAGUAGCUAGGAUAUGAGAUUAUUGUAAAAGGGCAAGUGCAUUGGGCAACAUUUGAAAGUUCUGAAGCUUGUUUUUGUUUUUUUUUUAAACCUCACAGGUGGAUGGGGGGAGGGGAGGGAAGAAAAAGCAAAACACCCAAGUAGGAGUUUGUCUUCCAACUGUAGCUAGAAAAGCUCUUUAGAUGGCAUAUAUUUAUCAACAUGGCACUUAGUGAGCUAUUACAGAUUGAUAUUUCCUAAGGACUUUGUCUCUUGAUCAACCUUUCUUUUACAGGUGGGAUACCCAAAGUUUGCCCAAAUAAGGACUACUGCAUCUAAUAGGUAGAAAAUGGGGCAGACCAUGACUACUGUCUUCUGGCUAAUAUAGAGCAGCACUUGCUGGGACUUGCAGUCUCUGUGGGCCAUGUCUCCAUAUCAAAGAUGAUAUGUCACUGUGAGCUGCAUUUUAGAUCCUAUUGGGCUAUUUUUGCUCAUUGGCUCUUUUACCAGAGAUCUUGGUCAGGACCCUCACUGGAAAAGUAUCUACAGGGAAACACUGUUUCCAUUUGAUAUUGCACUGGACAGGGGGAAUUGUCAGCUCACACUGACAGAUCUCACCAUUGAAGAUAACUGAGAAGGAAAAGAAUUCCUUUUCUUUUCAGAAAGAAAACAUAAGCACUACGUCUCUCCUGACAGCACCAUGUUAGGCGUAGGUGUGACCUUGAGCAGACAAAGGAGGCAUUUACUGCAGUUCACCGUUACAGCUUCAAGUCAGACUUUGAAAUCUUUAAGAUCACAAUAUUGUGGCCACAAAACAAAGAGGCGGCAUGCAGCAAAAAAUGGCAGCUGGCGAAAAACCAUAAAUCUCAGUGUGGGUAUGUGUGUGCGAGGGCUUGUGUGUGUGCUCUUUGUAUACAGGGAUGGAAGUUUGCACACCUCUGUAAAGCACUGACAUUAAGGCCCUGCUGCGUUAAUAAAGUCCAGACAUCCUCCUGCAGCAACAGAAAGGUCUCCUCAAUUGUUCUGCACAUUGCAUCCCCUCCUCAGCCUCGUCAGUCACCAUCUUCAUGCUGUUAGCCAUUCCUGUCAAAUCAAUACAGGAGGCACCAGGGAAAUGCAGGCAAAUGAACUUGCAUUAGAGUCCUGCUGCCCCAAAAUCAUCUGGUGUGCAGGUGUGCGGUUCCUCUGCCAGGGUCUUCAUUAGAAACAGGACUCCUGGGAUUCUGGGUCAUUGUGGAUGGGAAGCUUCUCGUGUUCCUGAUGAUGCCCAUUAUGUAAAACUGUGUACCUAGGAGGAGGGGAAAGCAAAAACAAAUAGGAGUCACUAGAACAAAUUAAAAAGGAUGGGCUGAGCCUUUUCUUUUCUCAGGAGAGUCUGAGACCUAGGCAGGUUGACUUCAGAGUGCUCCUAAUAUCCCGUUUCCCUGCUCCACCUGCCAAGUAAAAUGUAAAUCCAAACCAUGUUCAUGAUGGCAGAAGAUGACUGUGACUAUAAUGUUAACCCCAACCCCUGCAAAGUAGGAACCUGCCGGUUCAUGUCGAACUGAGCUAUAACAAGUACCAUAAGAAACCAAGCUAAUGAAUUAGGAGACCCGGGAUUCUGGGGUGGAUGUUGGUGACUGAGUUGUCAACACAGAAUUGAAUCUCUUUAAAGCAAGUAUUAAAAAAUCACUUUGCUUUGGCUUGGAAUGCAUGUGUCCUUUAAAGUGACCCAGAGACCUGCCCUCUGAAUCAUGUGAACCAUACACUAAAAACAACUGAUUGCUAGUAAUCUCAGUUCUUUUAGUACAACUGUCCUGAAUACUGAUCAUUUCAUGUCCAAUUAGAUCAUUGCCAUGCAGGAUUACAACCUUCUGGAGACUCCUGAAAUACACACACUUCCCCGAUUGAAAAAUGAGAGCAUUCUGCAGGCUAAACUCCAAUUCAUAUUCACAAAUUACUGAUUUCCUGCAGACUCUGGGCCCUAACUGAUGGUGCUGUAAAUGAAGGAUGGAUAGGGGUCACCUCCCAGACUGCUGCACUGGGCAGCACAGCAUGGGGAAGAGGAGACCAGCCUUCUGAGGAGAAAGAAGCGGUUCAGGACUAUUUAGAAAAGCUGGACGAGCACAAGUCCAUGGGGCCAGAUGCGCUGCAU